GACGCACUCUCAGAGUUUGAUCCUGGCUCAGGAUGAACGCUAGCUACAGGCUUAACACAUGCAAGUCGAGGGGCAGCAUGAUCGAAGCUUGCUUUGAUUGAUGGCGACCGGCGCACGGGUGAGUAACACGUAUCCAACCUGGCUCAGACUCGGGGAUAGCCUUUCGAAAGAAAGAUUAAUACCCGAUGGCAUGAAGCUCCCGCAUGAGGGCUUCAUUAAAGAUUCAUCGGUCUGAGAUGGGAAUGCGUUCCAUUAGGCAGUUGGCGGGGUAACGGCCCACCAAACCAUCGAUGGAUAGGGGUUCUGAGAGGAAGGUCCCCCACAUUGGAAUUGAGAAACGGUCCAG
rnacentral:rRNA from 1 species